rnacentral:lncRNA from 1 species
AAAUGCUCCGCAGGGCCAGGCUCCCGGCUUGCACAGCUGGCUGGUCUUCCGCCUGGACAGACGUCAUGAAUGUGGCUCAGACCCAGAGCGCGGCCCCACUCGUUUCGGGGAGGACAGGAGUUGGGUUUAAUUUGGGCAACAUGCAGUGCCGUGUGUGAGCGGAACACGCAUUCCCGUGGGGUUAGAAACGUCCAGCUCCUUAUGGGGGUCAUGGUCAGAAUGGCCUGGACCUUCACUACGGCCAGCCCCUGACCACUGUGAUUCUGCGGGGCUGGGGCUGGGGCUGGGCCUGGGCCUGUGCUGCAGGUGAGUCCUGCCCAGGUGGGGAGUGCUCGGAGGUCAACAGCACUAUUGCCGUGUUAAUCCACCCCCCGAGCCAAUGCUUCCCACACUUCGCUUCAAUCACGCGACAGUCCUGAGCGGAUGGAGUGCACUGGUGUGAUCUCAGCUCAACCUCCGCAUCCCAGGCUCAGCGACAGGGUUUCGCCACGCUGCCCAGACUGGUCUCAAUUCCUGGGCUUAAGUGAUCUGUCUGCCUUGGCCUCCCAUCGUGCUGAGAUGACAGGCGUGAGCCACUGCACCCGGCCCAGGCUGUUUUCAAUUCCCCGUGUUCUGCUACCUUCCAGGUGGGGCGGGCUGGGAGGCCUCUUCUAGAGGGGCCCUCAGGCUGCUCCAAGCCCUGGAAUGCAGCCCUGGUGGCCUCAGAACACCCCAGCAGGCUGGACCCGUGCCUCUGCCCCAGGGUGUAGGGUCCGGGUGGCCUGGGGUCGUCCCCUUGGGAGCUGCAUGGGUGGCCGCUGCUACUCCUACCUGGGAGGACAUCCCGUGGCAGGGGUAGAGGAUCGCCCGGUCGCCGUCCUCCGCUCCCUGGUCCAGACAGUAGGCACUGGCUUUGCUGUUUCUCACCUGCAAGCAGAAGCCCCAGGAGAAAGUCCAGAGUCACCCGAGGGUGCGGCCCCAGGGAGCUUCACGCAGCCAGCUCUGCAGCCAGCACCUAAGGAGGAACCCUGACAGCCCUCUGAGAACAAGCCCGGGCCAGACUGCUGGGGGAUGUGUUGUCAUCGGGCAGCCAACCUCCAGCCUCCAGAACAGGCCCAUCGGAGAUCAGCACAGCCUGGAUCAGGCCAGCAGCACUGCCUGGGUGGCCCCGGCUCGUGAGCAAGUGUAGAUGCUUAUUGCUUUUGUCCACCGCGUCUCCAGGCUGCUGGGUUUGCAGCAGCAGCUGACCCAUCCACCACGGCCACCACGAGAGGUCACACAGGUACCACUUGAAGCUGCGACACUUCAGCCUCUGACGCAGGGCCAGCCUCUCAGACACGUCCCCGAAGUCCACCCCUGGGUUCUGCAAGGCCAGAAGUAGAGGGUCUGAGGCAGCUGCUCCUGAUGGGAAGGACCCUGCCAGAGGCCAGCCCCGGCCUGGACAGACGGCCCCUGCUGCAGCCGGCUCGUCCACACCCACCCGGGCCCAGGAACCUCCUGCCUGAGAAGACGGCCCUGCUCACCUGGCCUUACUGCACGGCAUCAGCCUGACCUCUGGAGGGUGGAGACUGAGGUCAGCCAUAUCCAGAGACCAGCCUGGCGUCUCUUCCCUCUGCUGACUUUGACCCGUGUCCUCUGCCGUGAGAACCCACAGCCGAGUGCGGUGUCUGUGUCUUCCUGGGACUGUGGGGCCUGAGAGGCUGUAGGGACCAGCACUCUCUGACGGACAGCCAGCCCUGAGGGAGCACCUGCACCCUGCCCAGGGACCCUCCAGGCUCAGGCCUUGUGGGGAGGGCAGACGACUUGGCCUUCACGGCCUGGGCUUGAAUCCCGUCACCUUCUGGCCUGAGUAGGACAGAAAGGCCGAGGCAGGGAGUGUUCACACACUCUGCUCGAUUCGGGCUGGGACGUGGGUCCUCCCCUGCCUUCAGGCUUGGAGCUCACGCCACCGGCUCUCCUGGGCGCCUGCCAGCCGACGGCCAAUCUCGGUACCCUCAGCCCCCGUAACCGGGUGAGUCAAUUCCUUAGAUGAACUUUCACAGCUAAGCCCACGUCCCCACCAUCUGCUAUUAAUCUGUUUCCCUGGAGAGCCCUGAGCCAGCCCCGUCCCAUCCUAUCCUACCCUAUCCUGUGCUGUCCCAUCCCAUCCACCCCAUUAAAAAAAGGCCGAUGCCACCCACGGGCUGACAUCACUAUGAACAAAUGGGUCUGAUCCACGUGGCCCAAGCUCCGCCGUGCUCAGGUCCUCAGCCCUGAGCCUGCCAUGCUGGACGAGUGUGCCAGGCCCAGGGCGGGCACUGUGCUUGCCUCAUCUCCUGAAUCCCCCCACCACCCGAGAAAGGGUGGGCAGCCCUGGCAUUGCCCCGUUCCCUCCGCGGUGCUGAGAAGGUGCCGAGGCCGAGGGUGGUGCCAACUGCAGGGGCGCACGGGGUGGAGCCUCUGCCCAGCUGAGCUCGGAUCCCUCAGUCAUCCCUGGACUCUGGUUCAUCCUCGUCCAGGCUGCUCUCAUCUCCAGGCCGUUAUCUUAAUCAUGUCUGCAAAGAUCCCUUUUCCCAAAGAGGGCCACACUCACACGUCCCCUAGCUGCAUCCUCCGGGGGUCGCCUGUCAGCCCAGCCC